rnacentral:rRNA from 1 species
GCCACGCCCGCUCAAGAAACUUAAAGGAAUUAGACGGGGGCCCGCACAAGCGGUGGAGCAUGUGGUUUAAUUCGAUGAUACGCGAGGAACCUUACCUGGGCUCAAAUGUAUGUUGACGUAUUCUGAAAGGGAUACUUCUUCGGACAAUAUACAAGGUGCUGCAUGGUUGUCGUCAGCUCGUGCCGUGAGGUGUCGGGUUAAGUCCCAUAACGAGCGCAACCCCUAUCAUUAGUUGCCAUCAGGUCAAGCUGGGGACUCUAAUGAAACUGCCUACGCAAGUAGUGAGGAAGGUGGGGAUGACGUCAAAUCAGCACGGCCCUUACGUCCAGGGCUACACACGUGCUACAAUGGCCGGUACAAAGGGCAGCUACCUGGUGACAGGAUGCUAAUCUCAAAAGCCGGUCUCAGUUCGGAUCGGAGUCUGCAACCCGACUCCGUGGAGCUGGAAUCGCUAGUAAUCGCGCAUCAGCCAUGGCGCGGUGAAUACGUUCCCGGGCCUU